CACAUUCGAAGAUAUACCUGCGUUAAUACAUUAAUACAGCUUCCUUGUUUUUGUAAACAGUAAGAAUCGCGAAUAUCGUGGAUAUUUACGGCGUGGACGGCGAGAUUCAGUAGCGUUUUUAGCGAGCGCGCGUUAAGUCGUGUGUGAAUCGGAUACUUUUCGUGUCGAGAUCCGGUUUUUGUUUGCACAAAUCACAGCAACUUUCAGUUGAAUUAUUGGUUAAAAAUUGUUUUAAAUUUAACUCGUGAUGAUUAUAAAGUAG